GAUGAACGCUGGCGGCAUGCCUUACACAUGCAAGUCGAACGGCAGCACGGGAGCAAUCCUGGUGGCGAGUGGCGAACGGGUGAGUAAUAUAUCGGAACGUGCCCGGUCGUGGGGGAUAACGUAGCGAAAGCUACGCUAAUACCGCAUACGAUCUACGGAUGAAAGCGGGGGGAUCGCAAGACCUCGCGCGAUUGGAGCGGCCGAUAUCAGAUUAGGUAGUUGUGAGGUAAAGGCUCACCAAGCCCGACGAUCUGUAGCUGGUCUGAGAGGACGACCAGCCACACUGGGACUGAGACACGGCCCAGA
rnacentral:rRNA from 1 species